rnacentral:lncRNA from 1 species
CUCUCUACCAGUCUAGCCUUACCCCAUUUACUCCAUUUGCACCCCAGCUGUAUCCAUUUCCACAGAACCUCCUUGCCUUUUUUGUUUUAUUGAACCACAUGAAAAUAAGAUGCACUCCUCUUCAAAAAUGUUCCUUACAUUGCCAGUUUUUCCAUUUGUGAGAACAAAGAGUGAGAGGGAGGGGUUCUGCAGACCACACAGCUUAUCUUUGACAGAUGCUGACUUUGCAGCUUGGAGUUUUAACAAAUAGAAGCACUGAUGGGUUGUUUGUGUCUUUUUUUAUCAGUCUUUCCUUCCGUGCUUGCUCUCUCACUCCCUCUAGAGUUUUGCAGUGGGAGUAAAAUGCUAAGUAUGCACAAAGGCAUUGAUGCAAACUGUGGACACCAUAAGCUCUUACCUCAUUCUUGCAUGAAUGCACUGAAAACUUAUAACAUGGUUUCUGAACGAGUCAUGGCAACCUGACUCAUCAUGAACAACUCAUUCAGCAAGAUUUCUUUUCAUCCCUGCAGUGGAGAUGGCAGAGAAAAAAAGAACUCAUGUAAGAAAUUCAACUUCACUGAAAUGAAAUGAUCUGGAGGAAUCUCAAUGCAAGCAAGAAGAGCUGCAGAACAGUACAGUGCCACUGCAUCUGUGGGGAAUUUUCUACAUGAGUGUCUAAUUUGUAAAGAAGAUGCUCUUCAGAGCCAGGUGGAGGUAACGCCCUGCCAGACAAGGAGAAAAAGCCAAAUACAUAUGAGGAAAAAAAACAGUUUGAAGUUUUGGAAGAGAUCAAAGAGAGACAGAAAUCUGCAAUUUGCUAGCUUAAAUGUGCAGCUUUGGAGGGAAGAAUGA